rnacentral:rRNA from 1 species
UACGAAGGGUGCAAGCGUUACUCGGAAUUACUGGGCGUAAAGCGUGCGUAGGCGGUUUGUUAAGUCUGUCGUGAAAGCCCCGGGCUCAACCUGGGAAUGGCGAUGGAUACUGGCGAGCUAGAGUACGGUAGAGGAGAGUGGAAUUCCCGGUGUAGCAGUGAAAUGCGUAGAGAUCGGGAGGAACAUCAGUUGCGAAGGCGGCUCUCUGGAACGCAACUGACGCUGAGACGCGAAAGCGUGGGGAGCAAACAGG